AUCCAGCCGACGAGUCCCGGAUACCACGAAACGCGCGUCCUGGAU
rnacentral:hammerhead_ribozyme from 1 species